rnacentral:rRNA from 1 species
CGCCAGUUUUGGCGGAGCCAUCCUUGGGAUACCACCCUUGUAGUACUGGGACUCUAACCAUAGGCCAUGAAUCUGGUCUUGGGACACUGUCAGGUGGGCAGUUUGACUGGGGCGGUCGCCUCCCAAAAGGUAACGGAGGCGCUCAAAGGUUCUCUCAGUACGGUCGGAAAUCGUACGUAGAGUGUAAAGGCAAAAGAGAGCUUGAUUGCAAGACAUACAGGUCGAGCAAGGAUGAAAAUCGGACUUAGUGAUCCGGUGGUUCUGCGUGGAAGGGCCAUCGCCCAACGGAUAAAAGCUACCCUGGGGAUAACAGGCUUAUCUCCCCCAAGAGUCCACAUCGACGGGGAGGUUUGGCACCUCGAUGUCGGCUCAUCACAUCCUGGGGCUGUAGUAGGUCCCAAGGGUUGGGCUGUUCGCCCAUUAAAGUGGUACGCGAGCUGGGUUCAGAACGUCGUGAGACAGUUCGGUCCCUAUCCGUCGCAGGCG